ACCAGACUCCUACGGGAGGCAGCAGUGGGGAAUAUUGCACAAUGGGGGAAACCCUGAUGCAGCGACGCCGCGUGGGCGAGGAAGUACCUCGGUAUGUAAAGCCCUAUCAGCAGGGAAGAAACAGGACAGUACCUGACUAAGAAGCCCCGGCUAACUACGUGCCAGCAGCCGCGGUAAUACGUAGGGGGCAAGCGUUAUCCGGAUUUACCGGGUGUAAAGGGAGCGUAGACGGCAGCACAAGUCUGGAGUGAAAUCCCGGGGCUUAACCCCGGAACUGCUUUGGAAACUGUGCGGCUGGAGUGCAGGAGGGGUAAGCGGAAUUCCUAGUGUAGCGGUGAAAUGCGUAGAUAUUAGGAGGAACACCGGUGGCGAAGGCGGCUUACUGGACUGUAACUGACGUUGAGGCUCGAAAGCGUGGGGAGCAAACAGGAUUAGAUACCCAGUAA
rnacentral:rRNA from 1 species